rnacentral:lncRNA from 1 species
GGUCAUGUUGGACAUCGAGGAGGCCAUCGAAUUGGGAUUGGGAUUUGAUGGUGAAAUUGGUGGGUUUAGAUUUUUGAAGAGACUAGGGUUUGAUUUUGGUGUUAAGAGAGAAGGGUGAUGAUUGAAAUAGAGUUGUUGUGGAAGAAGCCAUCUGAAAAUGUGAGUGUUGUUUGAGUGGCUCUAUGGUUUGAGAGGGAAGAAUUUU